GUCAGCUGAUUUUGGGUCACAUGAGAAGUACUUUGAUGAGACUUGAGACCAUUGUUGUAGUGAGAGUGCAUUAAUCAAGACAUGACAAUGUACACAUUAAUUACAUUUCCUGCUUCCUAGUUAGUUUCUCCUGUGAAAAAGGCAAAGGUUAGAGAUAUAAUCAAAAGUUGUUGUAGCAGCAAUAUGUGACAAUGGGCCCACCAUGAGGCCUACACUUGGUAGUUG